rnacentral:rRNA from 1 species
GAUGAACGCUGGCGGCGUGCUUAACACAUGCAAGUCGAACGAAGCACUUUAUUACGAUUUCUUCGGAAUGACGAUCUAGUGACUGAGUGGCGGACGGGUGAGUAACGCGUGGGUAACCUGCCUCAUACAGGGGGAUAACAGUUGGAAACGGCUGCUAAUACCGCAUAAGCACACAGCAUCGCAUGGUGCAGUGUGAAAAACUCCGGUGGUAUGAGAUGGACCCGCGUCUGAUUAGCUGGUUGGCGGGGUAACGGCCCACCAAGGCGACGAUCAGUAGCCGGCCUGAGAGGGCGACCGGCCACAUUGGGACUGAGACACGGCCCAA